GACGAACGCUGGCGGCGUGCCUAAUACAUGCAAGUAGAACGCACAGUUUAUACCGUAGCUUGCUACACCAUAAACUGUGAGUUGCGAACGGGUGAGUAACGCGUAGGUAACCUGCCUGGUAGCGGGGGCUAACUAUUGGAAACGAUAGCUAUUACCGCAUAAUAUUAAUUAUUGCAAGGUAAUUGAUUGAAUGGUUCAAUUGCACCACUAUCAGAUGGACCUGCGUUGUAUUAGCUAGUAGGUGAGUUAACGGGUCACCUAGGCGACGAUACAUAGCCGAACGGUGAGGGGGGUCGGCGACACUGGGGCUGGAACACGGACCAGGCGCCUGCGGGAGGGAGCAGUAGGGAAUCUUAGGCAAUGGACGGGAGUCUGACCGAGUGACGCCGCGUGAGAGACGAAGGCUCUCCGGUCGUAAAGCUCUGUUGUAAGAGGAGAACGGGUGUGAGAGUGGAAAGUUCUCACUGUGACGGUAUCUUAACAGAAAGGGACGGCUAACUACGUG
rnacentral:rRNA from 1 species